CUCCUACGGGAGGCAGCAGUGGGGAAUUUUGCGCAAUGGGGAAACCCUGACGCAGCAACGCCGCGUGGAGGAUGAAGCCCUUGGGGUGUAAACUCCUUUCGAUCGGGGAGAUUAUGACGGUACCGAUAUAAGAAGCCCGGCUAACUUCGUGCCAGCAGCCGCGGUAAUAC
rnacentral:rRNA from 1 species